rnacentral:rRNA from 1 species
GGGUGAGUAACACGUGAGCAACCUGCCCCUGACUCUGGGAUAAGCGCUGGAAACGGCGUCUAAUACUGGAUACGAACUGGAACCGCAUGGUUACUAGUUGGAAAGAUUUUUUGGUUGGGGAUGGGCUCGCGGCCUAUCAGCUUGUUGGUGAGGUAAUGGCUCACCAAGGCGUCGACGGGUAGCCGGCCUGAGAGGGUGACCGGCCACACUGGGACUGAGACACGGCCCAGACUCCUACGGGAGGCAGCAGUGGGGAAUAUUGCACAAUGGGCGGAAGCCUGAUGCAGCAACGCCGCGUGAGGGAUGACGGCCUUCGGGUUGUAAACCUCUUUUAGCAGGGAAGAAGCGAAAGUGACGGUACCUGCAGAAAAAGCGCCGGCUAACUACGUGCCAGCAGCCGCGGUAAUACGUAGGGCGCAAGCGUUAUCCGGAAUUAUUGGGCGUAAAGAGCUCGUAGGCGGUUUGUCGCGUCUGCUGUGAAAUCCGGAGGCUCAACCUCCGGCCUGCAGUGGGUACGGGCAGACUAGAG